ensembl:snRNA Gm25337 predicted gene, 25337
GUGCUCGCUUCAGCAGCACAUAUACUAAAAUUGGGACGAUACAGAGAUUAGCAUGGCCCCUGCGCAAGGAUGACAUGCAAAUUCAUGAAGCAUUCCAUAUUAAA